rnacentral:rRNA from 1 species
AAUAGAUACCCGGGUAGUCCACGCCGUAAACGAUGAGUGCUAAGUGUUAGAGGGUUUCCGCCCUUUAGUGCUGAAGUUAACGCAUUAAGCACUCCGCCUGGGGAGUACGGCCGCAAGGCUGAAACUCAAAGGAAUUGACGGGGGCCCGCACAAGCGGUGGAGCAUGUGGUUUAAUUCGAAGCAACGCGAAGAACCUUACCAGGUCUUGACAUCCUCUGACAACCCUAGAGAUAGGGCUUCUCCUUCGGGAGCAAAGUGACAGGUGGUGCAUGGUUGUCGUCAGCUCGUGCCGUGAGAUGUUGGGUUAAGUCCCGCAACGAGCGCAACCCUUGAUCUUAGUUGCCAUCAUUAAGUUGGGCACUCUAAGGUGACUGCCGGUGACAAACCGGAGGAAGGUGGGGAUGACGUCAAAUCAUCAUGCCCCUUAUGACCUGGGCUACACACGUGCUACAAUGGACGGUACAAAGAGCUGCAAGACCGCGAGGUGGAGCUAAUCUCAUAAAAACCGUUCUCAGUUCGGAUUGUAGGCUGC